rnacentral:rRNA from 1 species
CCUACGGGGGGCUGCAGUGGGGAAUAUUGGACAAUGGGGGCAACCCUGAUCCAGCCAUGCCGCGUGUGUGAAGAAGGCCCUCGGGUUGUAAAGCACUUUCAGUGAGGAAGAACGCCUGGUGGUUAAUACCCAUCAGGAAAGACAUCACUCACAGAAGAAGCACCGGCUAACUCCGUGCCAGCAGCCGCGGUAAUACGGAGGGUGCGAGCGUUAAUCGGAAUUACUGGGCGUAAAGCGCGCGUAGGUGGCUUGAUAAGCCGGUUGUGAAAGCCCCGGGCUCAACCUGGGAACGGCAUCCGGAACUGGCAAGCUAGAGUGCAGGAGAGGAAGGUAGAAUUCCCGGUGUAGCGGUGAAAUGCGUAGAGAUCGGGAGGAAUACCAGUGGCGAAGGCGGCCUUCUGGACGGACACUGACACUGAGGUGCGAAAGCGUGGGUAGCAAACAGGAUUAGAUACCCUUGUAGUC